rnacentral:rRNA from 1 species
GUCAAUGGUGAUAGCAUGUUUGAAUGCACUAGUUCCCCAUGAAUCACUUAAGCAACGUUGUGUGUGGUUGGUAUCUGGAUGGGUGACCAUCUGGGCAAUCAUGUACUGCUGGAU